ensembl:lincRNA
UUCCAUUAUCUGCAACUGCAGCUAAUAGAAAUUAGUAAGAGUUAUUAGGUACCAAUGAACACUGGGCUUUGGGUGAAAAUUAUAAGCUUUUAUAUCUAGCUGAUGGGCCUUGUACCUAAUAGUAUUUGGCUUGGUUUUUUAGAGUGAUUUCCAUCUCAUGCCUGUUGCUUUUGUACCAUUCAUUUUAUGUAUUUUUAAUUGUUUAAAGAAGAGCUGCUCGGGUUUUAUAAGUGGUGUUUUUCUCCUUCUUUUAGGUCUCUCUGCAAUGCAAUCAAUGUUUACAACCUCACCUGCAAUAACUGUUCAGAAAACUGCACUGAUGUUCUGUUUAGUAACAAGAUUACCUUCUUAAUGGACCUCCUGAUACACCAGUUGACGGUUUAUGUUCCAGAUGAAAAUAAUACUGUUUUGGGAAGAAAUACAAAUAAACAAGUUUUUGAGGGCUUGACAACGGGACUUCUCAAAGUCAGUGCUGUGGUUUUGGGCUGCCUGAUUGCCAGUCGACCAGAUGGAAACUGCCAGCCAGCUACCCCCAAAAUACCAACACAGGAAAUGAAAAACAAACCCUCACAAGGUGAUGCUUUUAACAAUCGAGUUCAGGACCUUAUCAGCUACGUGGUGAACAUGGGUCUGAUUGACAAACUGUGUGCCUGCUUCCUCUCGGUGCAAGGCCCAGUGGAUGAGAAUCCCAAGAUGGCCACAUUUCUGCAGCAUGCCACAGGACUCUUACAUGCAAUGUGCACAUUGUGCUUUGCUGUCACUGGAAGGUCAUACAGCAUAUUUGACAAUAAUCGCCAGGAUCCCACAGGGCUGACAGCUGCUCUUCAGGCAACCGACCUGGCUGGAGUUCUUCAUAUGCUCUACUGUGUCCUCUUCCAUGGCACCAUCUUGGACCCUAGCACUGCCAGUCCCAAGGAAAAUUACACCCAAAAUACCAUCCAAGUAGCCAUUCAGAGUUUACGUUUCUUCAACAGCUUUGCAGCUCUUCAUCUGCCUGCUUUUCAGUCUAUUGUAGGGGCAGAGGGCUUGUCCCUUGCAUUCCGGCACAUGGCCAGCUCCCUGCUGGGCCACUGCAGCCAAGUCUCCUGUGAAAGCCUCCUUCAUGAGGUCAUCGUCUGUGUGGGCUACUUCACUGUUAACCACCCAGAUAACCAGGUAAUAGUGCAGUCCGGCCGCCACCCCACAGUGCUGCAGAAGCUCUGCCAGUUGCCCUUCCAGUAUUUCAGUGACCCACGGCUGAUCAAAGUACUGUUCCCUUCACUUAUCGCUGCUUGUUACAACAACCAUCAGAACAAGAUCAUUCUGGAGCAAGAGAUGAGCUGUGUUUUACUGGCCACUUUCAUUCAGGAUUUGGCACAGACUCCAGGUCAAGCAGAAAACCAGCCUUACCAGCCCAAAGGUAUGUCUCUAUUGAAAUUAAAUUUCAUGUGUUUGUUAGCCAAAUGAACAUCUUUCUUAUCCUUUCCUCUGGAACUUUUACAUUGUAUGUACAAUUUUAUACAUAACCUAAAAUUUGAGAUUCAGAUACCAAAUAUAUUUCAGUAAGUAAAAAAAUCAAUUUUGUUAUGAAGCAUGAAUGCAUCCAAAUAUGUAUAGAAAUCUAUGGGAGUAAAAGAAAAGCACAAAUAUCUUUGUAUAAUAAUCAUCUCAUGCAAGAUAUAUUAAAUGGUGAAUAAUCACUAAAGAGCUGCUUUGUGAUACAGGAGCCAGAUCAUUAAUAUUGGCCCACAUGACUUGCAUAAAUGCUGAAAUCACAUAGGUCUGGUUCCUUAUCCAUGUUCAGAAUAAAGUUAUCAGUAAUAGUAGCCCACAAUUUCCCCCUAAGUUCGAGUACUUGAAAUUUUGUUUUGAAAAUAAUUGUUUUACAUGGAGAAAAAGUCAUCUAAUUGGCAAAGUCCAGGGCAAAAGAUUUACAAGUUUUUUUUUCCUAUAGCAUUCCUGCUGGGGUGUUUGCUGUGAUCAGAGUCAGAGAUUUAGAAUUGUUACCACAUUUUUACUUUUUUAAAUAUUCUGCUACCCAGACUGUAAUUGAGAAGUACAAGUUGCUCUUUGGCUGUUAUGACAGCAUCUCUGAUGAAUGAGACCCUAAUCCAGAUCUUCUUCAAUUCUUCCAUUAAUUUGAUAGUCUUUAAAGUGGCCAUUUAGAGGUAUACUCCCAGCAGGACCCUUUAGGGUACCCACCAAGAAACCUUUACUUGGUGGGGGUGGGAGGUGUUACCUUGGACUCUUUCACACACACACACAAAAAAGUCCUGUACAGUGGACAGGUGUUGAAAAGUGCAAAGAAAAUAUAACUAAAGCUGUUACAAUAUCAUGAAGGAAAAAAAAAGACAUUUUAUUGACUCAGGCACCCAGAAAAGUUAAACAGAAGGCUAUACGACUUUUCAGAAAUCCAAGUCAGCAUCCUUGUCGGUACCAUUUGUCUGAGCAAGAAUUAGUCUGCAAGUUCAGUUCUGCCCUGACCCAGUCACAGCCCUUUUUGUUUUGUUUUGUUUUGUUUUGUUUUGUUUUGUUUUGUUUUGUUUUGUUUAACUACUGGCGGAUACUUGGGAGAAAUCAGCAAAAUGUGUUAACUACUCUUACAAAACAAUUUUAUUUUGAAUAAAUUAAAAUGCUUGGAAAAAUCUUACUUAUUUUCAAUUGUACAGCUAUUUUGUUUUGUUUUGUUUGCCACUAAGAAGUAUAAGCAUUUUUUUCUGUUUCUCCUGAUCAUAAAGAUGAGUCACAAUUUGUUACAUGGUCUGGAAGACACAGUCCCAGAAGCUGCCUCUGUCUGCUUGGUGGACUGAGGCCUGUGGAAGUCAACCUUCUGUCUUUUCCAAGGGACCAUCUUCCCUGAUUUUCAUGCUUUCCCCAGUUACAGUAGCUUAACUCACAGAACAGCAAAUAGGGAAUUGGUCUCUCCUUUGCUCAGAAAGGGUCAUCACUAUGUUAAUGACAGCUCAUAAUAUGUUGCUUUUUUUUUUUUUUUUUUAAUGAUGAUGCCUCACUAAGUUGCCAGUUUGCAACUUGGAUUAUUUGUUCCCCUUUUGCCUAGAUUAAGUCCCCAUAAAAUGUCUCAAGUAUUUUGAGUUCAUUGUCCAGGUAAACCUUUAAGUAUAAAAGCAGCUCUUGGUAACACCACAUUCCUACUGCCCAGGAAGAAUUUUGGUUUUCAAAUACCCACUGUCUGUCUAGCUGCAAUUGUUUACUUUACCUAUGCCACUGGCCAGUACAGCUCCUAUCAUUCAUUCCUACUGCUUUGUUAGAUAGGCAGUGCCAGAUUUGAAUAAUUUUAAAGAUAUACUUAAACUACAUUCAUGUUUUAAAUUAAAUAGACUUUCAGAAAACGUCAUCAUUUACAUAAAGUUUUCCCCUUUCAUGGCUAACUUAAGGAUAGAAUAUAGGACUGUCAUUUUAGUUUGUUUGCUUUUUUUUUUUUUUUUUUUUUUUUUUUUUUUUUUUUUUUUUUUUUUUGAGACAGGGUCUAUGUUGCCUAUCCUGGAGUGCAGUCACUACUCACAGGUGCGAUCAUAGCAAACUAUAGCCUCUAACUCCUGGGCUUAAGCAGUCCCCCUACUGCAGCCUUCCAAAUAGCUGGAACUACAGGCAUGCACCACUGUGCUUGCCUGGUUGCUAAUUUUUUUCUCAUUGUGGAGUCCAAAAACAUCUUUUUUUGUAAUUUCUGUAAGAGUUAAUGUCUGAAUAUGUUAAAGCACAAACUGGAUUGUGGUUAAAAUAUGUCAUAUAUUUUAUACUACAGAUAGAUUGAUACACAUAGAUCAAUCACCUUAUUUACCUAAAAUGUGUCAUGGUUUAUUUGAAGGGGGUAUCUCCAUUUUAUACUCAGAUAUCAAAAUAAGUUUAAUUUAUGAAUCUUCAAAGAAUUUAACCCUCUUUUAUUUCACUUUUUUCUCUUUUUUUCCCCCUCAGGGAAAUGCCUUGGUUCCCAAGACUAUCUUGAGCUGGCUAACAGAUUUCCUCAGCAGGCCUGGGAAGAAGCUCGACAGUUUUUCUUGAAAAAAGAGAAAAAAUAAAUAAAUGUUUUGGUUGAUUCUGUAUUUGAGUACCCUUGUUAAUAUUUUAAAUUGUUCAAACAAACAUUCUAAUUGUUCCUUAAGAACUCAUUUUCACAUGUUUAUACUCUCCCCACACUGUAGAUAUGGCAUGUACUUUACACUAUUUAUGACUGUAGAUACUUGAAUGUUCUACUUGCUAAUUUUGCAAGUUGAGUGUAUUUCAUUUAUGCAAAAUAUCUUGGAGUUUGAUAACUUCCAUCUAAUGAUAAUAUAUACUUUGCAUUUGUAAUAUUGGUGAAAGUAGACAUAAAAUUAGCAAGUCUGUUUUGUUCUUGUAAUAAAAUAACUUAUUCUGUUUUCAUUGUUGACUUUUCAUGUUAAGGAAAUACAAAUCUGAAAGAAAAAUGUUAACUCCACCCCUUGAAGUAUCUUAAAUAAAGACUUAAUUAAAGUUUACCUGCU